rnacentral:rRNA from 1 species
AUUGAACGCUGGCGGCAUGCUUUACACAUGCAAGUCGAACGGUAACAGGUUAAGCUGACGAGUGGCGAACGGGUGAGUAAUGCAUCGGAACGUGCCCGGUCGUGGGGGAUAACACUUCGAAAGAAGUGCUAAUACCGCAUACGAUCUGAGGAUGAAAGCGGGGGACCGUAAGGCCUCGCGCGAUCGGAGCGGCCGAUGGCAGAUUAGGUAGUUGGUGGGGUAAAGGCUCACCAAGCCAACGAUCUGUAGCUGGUCUGAGAGGACGACCAGCCACACUGGGACUGAGACACGGCCCAGACUCCUACGGGAGGCAGCAGUGGGGAAUUUUGGACAAUGGGCGAAAGCCUGAUCCAGCAAUGCCGCGUGCAGGAAGAAGGCCUUCGGGUUGUAAACUGCUUUUGUACGGAGCGAAAAGGUCUCCUCUAAUACAGGGGGCUCAUGACGGUACCGUAAGAAUAAGCACCGGCUAACUACGUGCCAGCCGCCGCAGUAA